UUGGAAGAUUUUAAUACUUCAACUUGUAUACUUGGAGAAUUUGAAGACUUCAACUUGUAUACUUGGAGAUUUUUGAAGACUUCAUUU
rfam:Solanum tuberosum cultivar DM 1-3 516 R44 scf00115_98, whole genome shotgun sequence.